rnacentral:rRNA from 1 species
GAUGAACGCUAGCUACAGGCUUAACACAUGCAAGUCGAGGGGAAACGACAUCGAAAGCUUGCUUUUGAUGGGCGUCGACCGGCGCACGGGUGAGUAACGCGUAUCCAACCUGCCCACCACUUGGGGAUAACCUUGCGAAAGUAAGACUAAUACCCAAUGAUAUCUCUAGAAGACAUCUGAAAGAGAUUAAAGAUUUAUCGGUGAUGGAUGGGGAUGCGUCUGAUUAGCUUGUUGGCGGGGUAACGGCCCACCAAGGCAACGAUCAGUAGGGGUUCUGAGAGGAAGGUCCCCCACAUUGGAACUGAGACACGGUCCAAAACUCCUACGGGAGGCAGCAGUGAGGAAUAUUGGUCAAUGGGCGAGAGCCUGAACCAGCCAAGUAGCGUGCAGGACGACGGCCCUAUGGGUUGUAAACUGCUUUUAUAAGGGAAUAAAGUGAGUCUCGUGAGACUUUUUGCAUGUACCUUAUGAAUAAGGACCGGCUAAUUCCGUGCCAGCAGCCG